rnacentral:rRNA from 1 species
GUACAAGCCGCACUAAGGUGAAACCGCGAAUGGCUCAUUAAAUCAGUUAUUAUUUACWGGCCGAGACAGUGAUACAUGGAUAACUGUGGUAAUUCUAGAGCUAAUACAUGCAACCGAGCCCCAGUGCCGGCUCUCGGGUCGGCCGGGGCGCUUUUAUUGGCUGAAAACCGAUGAUCGCCCUCGUGGCGGUCGUUCUCCGAUGAAUCACAAUAACAUUGUGUGGAUCGUACGGUCUUGUACCGACGACGCGCCUUUCAAAUAUCUGCCUUAUCAGCUCUCGACGGUUUGCUAGUGGCUGACCGUGGCUCUGACGGGUAACGGGGAAUCUGGGUUCGGUUCCGGAGAGGGAGCCUGAGAGAUGGCUACCACAUCUAAGGAAGGCAGCAGGCGCGUAACUUACCCACUCCCAGUUCAGGGAGGUAGUGACAAUAAAUACCUUACAGAGGUCUCGYUAACCGAGAUCUCUCAAACGGAAUGAGUACAACGUGAAUCCUUUAACGAGGAUCGACUGGAGGGCAAGCCUGGUGCCAGCAGCCGCGGUAAUUCCAGCUCCAGUAGCGUAUAUUAAAGCUGUUGCGGUUAAAAAGCUCGUAGUUGGAUAUCAGUGCGUGUCCGGUCCGGUAUGCCUGGCRCUGUCGCUCUGCGGCAGCUGCUGGGCUCCCAAAUAUCGGCUGGCCGCAUUCAAUCGUGCCGGAUCCGUCGACGGGCCGUUCUUCGGAGGGGCCUGUUGGCGACCGGCGACGUUACCUUGAACAAAUUAGAGUGCUCAAAGCAGGCUCUGAAUGCCUGUAUACAUAUUCAUGGAAUUGGAGAAUACGUCCCUGGCUCGAUUUGGUUGGUUUUGAGAGUCGAAGGGAAAUGAUUAAUAGGGACUGACGGAGGCAUUCGUAUUGCUACGCGAGGGGUGAAAUCCUGUGACCGUAGCACGACGAACUACUGCGAAAGCAUUUGCCGAGAAUGUUUUCAUUAGUCAAGAACGAAAGUUAGAGGUUCGAAGUCGACCAGCARUCCGCAACGGUCACUUUACGGACUGUGCGGGCAGCUUCCCCGGGGAAACCAGAGUUUUUGGAMUCCGGGGGAAGUAUGGUUGCAAAGCUGAAACUUAAAGGAAUUGACGGAAGGGCACCACCAGGAGUGGAGCUUGCGGCUUAAUUUGACUCAACACGGGACAACUCACCAGGCCCGGACACCGUAAGGAUUGACAGACUGAUAGCUCUCUCUUGAUUCAGUGGGUGGUGGUGCAUGGCCGUUCUUAGUUGGUGGAGUGAUUUGUCUGGUUUAUUCCGAUAACGAACGAGACUCUGGCCUAUUAAACUUGAUGCCGUCAGUCUCUUGUGACUGCGGUACGCUUCUUAGAGGGAUCAUCGGCGUCCCAGCCGAAGGAAAUGGAGCAAUAACAGGUCUGUGAUGCCCUUAGAUGUUCUGGGCUGCACGCGUGUUACACUGAAGUGGUCAGCGCGCCGUUCAACACCCCUCUCCGUGAGGAGCUUGGGCAAACGUUUGAACCCUUUUCGUGAUGGGAAUUGGGGGUUGCAAUUGUCCCCCAUGAACGAGGAAUUCCAAGUAAGCGCAGGUCACUAGCCUGCGUUGAUUAAGUCCCUGCCCUUUGUACACACCGCCCGUCGCUACUACCGAUGGAUGAUUUGGUGAGGUCGCCUAGACUGGCUGCUGGCUUCGGCCGUGCGGCCGGAAAGACGCCCAAACUUGGUCGUCUA